rnacentral:tRNA from 1 species
ACGGGAGUAUUCUACUUCAGAUAUCUGAUUUCGAACCAGAAGACCUUACAUGCUUAAGCUCCCGA